CGAUCGGUAAUCUUGGGGGAAAGUAGGGUGAAAGUCCUACGCUGUGCCGCAGCCGUUACAGCCGGAAUGCCUCAUGAAUU
rnacentral:ncRNA from 2 species